rnacentral:rRNA from 1 species
CCUACGGGAGGCAGCAGUCGAGAAUCAUUCACAAUGGGGGAAACCCUGAUGGUGCGACGCCGCGUGGGGGAAUGAAGGUCUUCGGAUUGUAAACCCCUGUCAUGUGGGAGCAAAUUAAAAAGAUAGUACCACAAGAGGAAGAGACGGCUAACUCUGUGCCAGCAGCCGCGGUAAUACAGAGGUCUCAAGCGUUGUUCGGAAUCACUGGGCGUAAAGCGUGCGUAGGCUGUUUCGUAAGUCGUGUGUGAAAGGCGAGGGCUCAACCCGCGGAUGGCACAUGAUACUGCGAGACUAGAGUAAUGGAGGGGGAACCGGAAUUCUCGGUGUAGCAGUGAAAUGCGUAGAUAUCGAGAGGAACACUCGUGGCGAAGGCGGGUUCCUGGACAUUAACUGACGCUGAGGCACGAAGGCCAGGGGAGCGAAAGGGAUUAGAUACCCUAGUAGUC